AUUGCACUCACUGUGGCUGCUUUGCAGUGAAGGAGAGUCCAGCAGAGCAUAUCUUGAUGGUUUGAGUCUGACAGCUGGGACAGUGUCAUGAACAAGCAGAGUAGAUUGAUUUGGAAAAGAAAAUUAUGAAUUUUGUCUUAGGACAAAUAAUCUUAACCAGUCAUUCAGAAGAUUAGAAAUGGUAGACAAAAGUUCAGGGUAGAAAUCCAAAAACUAGUUAGAUUUGCAAGCUUUUUGAAAAGUGAUAGUUAAAAUUUUGGGAGUAG
rnacentral:lncRNA from 1 species